GAAUCUGCCUGGCAGGGGAGAUACGUGAUCACAAAGGUGGUUUUCCCAGGGCGAGCCUUAUCCAUCGCACUCCGGACGUGCUGACCCCUGCGAUGUUCCCAAACGCGGGAAACUCGACCGCAUGACUUGUGGCUGUGGGGGACUGAGUUCGCGCUUUCCCCUG
ensembl:snRNA U1 U1 spliceosomal RNA